UCUACGGGAGGCAGCAGUGGGGAAUAUUGGGCAAUGGGCGCAAGCCUGACCCAGCAACGCCGCGUGAAGGAAGAAGGCUUUCGGGUUGUAAACUUCUUUUAUCAGGGACGAAGCAAGUGACGGUACCUGAUGAAUAAGCCACUGCUAACUACGUGCCAGCAGCCGCGGCAAUACGUAGGUGGGAAGCGUUAUCCGGAUUUACUGGGUGUAAAGGGGGUGUAGGCGGGGGUGCAAGUCAGAUGUGAAAAGUAUGGCCUCAACCCAUAGCCUGGAUUUGAAACUGUCCUUCUUGAGUGCUGGAGAGCCACUCGGAAUUCCGUGUGUAGCGGUGAAAUGCGGAGAUAUACGGAGGAACACCAGUGGCGAAGGCGGAUUGCUGGACAGUAACUGACGCUGAGGCGCGAAAGCGUGGGGAGCAAACAGGAUUAGAUACCCCAGUAGUC
rnacentral:rRNA from 1 species